rnacentral:tmRNA from 1 species
CCCCUUCCAACGCGGGUCCGGAUGCCCUAUAUCUCGUCUGUCCGGGCGACCGGACUAUGGUGAUAAACGCGCGCGUAAUAAGCGGAUCGGACCCGGGGGCGGUACCCGGCGGCUCCACCAGAUCCCUCGUUGGGGGCGAAUGGGGCCGAAACAGGAUCGACGGACGUGUAAAGGCGAUAGCUUUCACCCGGCAGGACGCCACCGUUACCGGCUCAAGAGCAAUAGUUGCCAACGACAACCAUGCUCCGGUUCGCCUCGCCGCGUAAUGCGGUUCGGUUAGCCAAAACCUGAAGUCCUUGGCCUUAGCCGGUCAAGGCGGGGCUCGCAGGCGCCUGGCAACAGAAGCCUGCACC